CCGUUCCGUUUACGAUCACCGAAGUUAAGCAACGUGGAGCCUGGUUAGUAUCUAGAUGGGUGGCCGCUUGGGAAUAGUAAGUGGUGUAA